UUGUCUCUCUCCUUAGGCUAUCCACAUCACCAAAGAGGAUGGGGCAUUUUGUGACAGCUGUCCUUAUCUAUUUUUAUUUAUUUUGAAAGUUAUGAUACAGAAAUUGAAACCAUAUCUUCACAUCUUGCGUAUGAAGCAGGGUACUCCACAACGUUUGUAGAAAGAGUUUCGGGAAUCUUUGGUAGACAAGCUUUUAAGAGAGUUGACAGUGUGAUUAAUGUUUCUGCUGUAAAUUUGGAUUUGUGAGUAUGUAA
rnacentral:lncRNA from 1 species